ACGCUGGCGGCGUGCUUAACACAUGCAAGUCGAGCGAUGAAGCCGCUUCGGUGGUGGAUUAGUGGCGAACGGGUGAGUAACACGUGGGCAAUCUGCCCUGCACUCUGGGACAAGCCCUGGAAACGGGGUCUAAUACCGGAUAUGACACGGGAUCGCAUGGUCUCCGUGUGGAAAGCUCCGGCGGUGCAGGAUGAGCCCGCGGCCUAUCAGCUUGUUGGUGGGGUGAUGGCCUACCAAGGCGACGACGGGUAGCCGGCCUGAGAGGGCGACCGGCCACACUGGGAAUGAGACACGGCCCAGACUCCUACGGGAGGCAGCAGUGGGGAAUAUUGCACAAUGGGCGCAAGCCUGAUGCAGUGACGUCGCGUGAGGGAUGACGGCCUUCGGGUUGUAAACCUCUUUCAGCAGGGAAGAAGCGCGAGUGACGGUACCUGCAGAAGAAGCACCGGCUAAAUACGUGCCAGCAGCCGCGGUAAUACGUAGGGUGCGAGCGUUGUCCGGAAUUAUUGGGCGUAAAGAGCUUGUAGGCGGCUUGUCGCGUCGGAUGUGAAAGCCCGGGGCUUAACCCCGGGUCUGCAUUCGAUACGGGCAGGCUAGAGUUCGGCAGGGGAGAUUGGAAUUCCUGGUGUAGCGGUGAAAUGCGCAGAUAUCAGGAGGAACACCGGUGGCGAAGGCGGAUCUUUGGGCCGAUACUGACGCUGAGGAGCGAAAGCGUGGGGAGCGAACAGGAUUAGAUACCCUGGUAGUCCACGCCGUAAACGUUGGGCACUAGGUGUGGGCGGCAUUCCACGUCGUCCGUGCCGCAGCUAACGCAUUAA
rnacentral:rRNA from 1 species